rnacentral:rRNA from 1 species
GUGGAUCCUGUGAACUGCAGGACACAUGAACACCGAUACGUUGAACGCAUAUUGCGCAUUGCACGACAGUGCGAUGUACACAUUUUUGAGUGCCCACAUUCACCGAACCAACUAUCAAGGAGCGCCGCUGAGGCUUCCUGCUGCGUACUGAUGAUUUGAUUGACCCGGGUCUAUCCAAGCAUUGAAGGACUGUGUGCGUGGUGGGUGCCUACCGGAGUGUUUGCUUUCGCGAGUGGACGCUUCGGCUCUCUGGUAUCACAUCUGGGCUACUAUCUCACAAUCCCCAGCGAUACGGCCUCCGAUGGUGCGGGCCAAGACCCUCCCUCAAAGCCAUACCCUUUCAGUGGCUCGCAAUUGCUUGUGACACCAAAGAAUUAACCAAAAAGAGAGAACAUCGAGAGAGACCAAACGUACCGCCAGAAGCAUCGGACGCACAACAGCUCAUCGCGAUCAGUAAGAGAGAGAGAUAGACGAUCACUAGUGGGCCUCAAAUAAUGUGUGACUACCCCCUAAAUUUAAACAUAUCGACAC